rnacentral:rRNA from 2 species
UACGGAGGGUGCAAGCGUUAUCCGGAUUCACUGGGUUUAAAGGGUGCGUAGGAGGGUGUGUAAGUCAGUGGUGAAAUCUUCGAGCUUAACUCGGAAACUGCCGUUGAUACUACACGUCUUGAAUACCGUGGAGGUGAGCGGAAUAUGUCAUGUAGCGGUGAAAUGCUUAGAUAUGACAUAGAACACCAAUUGCGAAGGCAGCUCACUACACGAAUAUUGACUCUGAGGCACGAAAGCGUGGGGAUCAAACAGG